UCUACGAUCAUCACACACAUCCCUGUUUCUAAGGAUAAUAAUAUUGCGUCUAUGUAUAUAAGAUUUUUAUAUAUGUUGCAUAUUAUUUUUCUAUUUAUUUGAUUGGCAAAUCUGCACAUUAGUAAAAAACUUACAAAAUGCGUGGGAAACCAUUAUACUAUUAGUGUUAACAACCCCAAUUGCCCUUUUAAUUUAUGCUACAAACAAAACAAAACAAAAAAAAAACUGUAAACUAAACAUUUGAUGUUUGUUAACAACCACAAUUGUCAUCAUUUACUCUAAUUAAAUAAAUUUUCGUUUAUGUCGCUAAUAUGGAGAGCAAAAGUCCCUGAUUAAGAUUCUCUAUACCA
rnacentral:lncRNA from 1 species